GGGAGGUAGUGACAAUAAAUAACAAUACAGGGUCCUUUCGGGUCUUAUAAUUGGAAUGAGUACAAUUUAAAUCUCUUAACGAGGAACAAUUGGAGGGCAAGUCUGGUGCCAGCAGCCGCGGUAAUUCCAGCUCCAAUAGCGUAUAUUAAAGUUGUUGCAGUUAAAAAGCUCGUAGUUGAAUUUCGGGAUCAAUACGUCGGUCGUGCCUCGGUACGUACUAACGUCAUUGAUUUCUCCCUUCUGACGAGCCGUGAUGUCAUUCAUUUGGUGUUACGGGGAGUCAGGACUGUUACUUUGAAAAAAUUAGAGUGUUUAAAGCAGGCUCACGCUUGAAUACAUUAGCAUGGAAUAAUGAAAUAGGACGUUUGAUUCUAUUUUGUUGGUUUCUAGGAUCGACGUAAUGAUUAAUAGGGAUAGUUGGG
rnacentral:rRNA from 1 species